rnacentral:rRNA from 1 species
CCCUGCCAUUUGUACACACCGCCCGUCGCUACUACCGAUUGAAUGGCUUAGUGAGGCGUUUGGAUUGGAAUCUUUAGCCUGUUUUCAGGCCAUUGUUUCCGAGAAGAUCGUCAAACUUGGUCAUUUAG